rnacentral:rRNA from 1 species
GACGAACGCUGGCGGCGUGCCUAAUACAUGCAAGUAGAACGCUGAAGAGAGGAGCUUGCUCUUCUUGGAUGAGUUGCGAACGGGUGAGUAACGCGUAGGUAACCUGCCUUGUAGCGGGGGAUAACUAUUGGAAACGAUAGCUAAUACCGCAUAACAAUGGAUGACACAUGUCAUUUAUUUGAAAGGGGCAAUUGCUCCACUACAAGAUGGACCUGCGUUGUAUUAGCUAGUAGGUGAGGUAAUGGCUCACCUAGGCGACGAUACAUAGCCGACCUGAGAGGGUGAUCGGCCACGCUGGGACUGAGACACGGCCCAGAAUACUACGGGAGGCAGCAGGAGGGAAUCUUCGGCAAUGGGGGCAACCCUGACCGAGCAACGACGCGUGAGUGAAGAAGGUUUUCGGAUCGUAAAGCUCUGUUGUAAGUCAAGAACGGGUGUGAGAGUGGAAAGUUCACACUGUGACGGUAGCUUACCAGAAAGGGACGGCUAACUACGUG